CAACUUUCAACAACGGAUCUCUUGGCUCUCGCAUCGAUGAAGAACGCAGCGAAAUGCGAUAAGUAAUGUGAAUUGCAGAAUUCAGUGAAUCAUCGAAUCUUUGAACGCACCUUGCGCCCCUUGGCAUUCCGAGGGGCAUGCCCGUUUGAGUGUCUUGA
rnacentral:rRNA from 1 species